UACAGGGGGGGCAAGCGUUGUUCGGAAUUACUGGGCGUAAAGGGCUCGUAGGCGGCCGGCUAAGUCCGCUGUGAAAGUCCAGGGCUCAACCCUGGAAAGCCGGUGGAUACUGCCGGGCUAGAGUCCGGAAGAGGCGAGUGGAAUUCCUGGUGUAGCGGUGGAAUGCGCAGAUAUCAGGAGGAACACCAACGGCGAAGGCAGCUCGCUGGGACGGUACUGACGCUGGAGGAGCGAAAAGCGUGGGGAGCGAACAGG
rnacentral:rRNA from 1 species